GACGAACGCUGGCGGCGUGCUUAACACAUGCAAGUCGAGCGGUAAGGCCCUUUCGGGGGUACACGAGCGGCGAACGGGUGAGUAACACGUGGGUGACCUGCCCUCAGCUCUGGGAUAAGCCUGGGAAACCGGGUCUAAUACCGGAUAUGACUCCAUGACGCAUGUUGUGGGGUGGAAAGCCUUGUGCGGCUGAGGAUGGGCCCGCGGCCUAUCAGCUUGUUGGU
rnacentral:rRNA from 1 species